GGCGGCGUGCUUAACACAUGCAAGUCGAACGAAGAGCGAUGGAAGCUUGCUUCUAUCAAUCUUAGUGGCGAACGGGUGAGUAACGCGUAAUCAACCUGCCCUUCAGAGGGGGACAACAGUUGGAAACGACUGCUAAUACCGCAUACGAUCCAAUCUCGGCAUCGAGACUGGAUGAAAGGUGGCCUCUAUUUAUAAGCUAUCACUGAAGGAGGGGAUUGCGUCUGAUUAGCUAGUUGGAGGGGUAACGGCCCACCAAGGCGAUGAUCAGUAGCCGGUCUGAGAGGAUGAACGGCCACAUUGGGACUGAGACACGGCCCAGACUCCUACGGGAGGCAGCAGUGGGGAAUCUUCCGCAAUGGACGAAAGUCUGACGGAGCAACGCCGCGUGAGUGAUGACGGCCUUCGGGUUGUAAAGCUCUGUUAAUCGGGACGAAUGGUUCUUGUGCGAAUAGUGCGAGGAUUGA
rnacentral:rRNA from 1 species